rnacentral:rRNA from 1 species
AGUCUGGCCUGCCCACUGAGGAUUUAACGGCCGCGGUAUUAUGACCGUGCGAAGGUAGCAUAAUCAUUAGUCUCUUAAUUGGAGGCUGGAAUGAAUGGUUGGACGAGAAAUUAGCUGUCUUAGUUUUGAAAAUUGAAUUUAACUUUUAAGUGAAAAGGCUUAAAUGGGCUAGAGGGACGAUAAGACCCUAUAAAGUUUGUACAUUAAACUAAUUUAAGGCGGUUUGGGUUUAUAAAGUUUGUCAUUAGGAAAGUGUUUAGUUGGGGCGAUUGGGAUAUAAGUUAUAUAACUGUUUCUUUGUUUGAAUCAAAAAUAUUUGAGUUUAUGAUCCUUUUUUAGGAUUAAAGAGUAAAUUACUUUAGGGAUAACAGCGUAAUUUUUUUUGAGAGUUCUUAUCGAUAAGAGAGUUUGCGACCUCGAUGUUGAAUUAAAAUCUCUUUGUGGUGCAGCAGUUACAAAAGAAGGUCUGUUCGACCUUUAAAUUUUUACAUGAUUUGAGUUCAGACCGGCGUGAGCCAGGUUGGUUUU